rnacentral:misc_RNA from 1 species
UACGGAGGGUGCAAGCGUUAAUCGGAAUUACUGGGCGUAAAGCGUACGUAGGCGGCUUGUUAAGCUAGAUGUGAAAGCCCAGGGCUCAACCUUGGAAUUGCAUUUAGAACUGGCAAGCUAGAGUUUUGAAGAGGGUGGUAGAAUUUCCAGUGUAGCGGUGAAAUGCGUAGAUAUCGGAAGGAAUACCAGUGGCGAAGGCGGCCACCUGGUCAAAAACUGACGCUGAGGCUCGAAAGCGUGGGGGAGCGAACAGG